GAUGAACGCUGGCGGCGUGCCUAAUACAUGCAAGUCGAGCGAACAGACGCUUAGCUUGCUCCUCUGACGUUAGCGGCGUACGGGUGAGUUAAAUGUGGUUAACCUACCUAUAAGAUUGGGAUAACUUCGUGAUACCGGUGCUAAUACCGUAUACUAUCUUGAACCUCAUGGUUCAAUAGUUACAGCCGUUUUUGCUGUCCCUUAUAGCUGUAUCCGCGUCGCAUUAGCUAGUUGGUAAGGUAACGGCUUACCAAGGCAACGAUGCGUAGCCGACCUGCGAGGGUGAUGGGCCACACAGGAGGUGAGACACGGUACAGACUCCUACGGGAGGCAGAAGUAGGGAAGGGUCCGAAAAGGGCGAAAGACUGAAGGAGGAACGCAGCGUGAGUGAUGAAGGGCCUCGGAUGGUAAAACUCUGUUAGUAGGGAAGAACAAAUGUGGAAGUAACUAUGCACGUCUUGACGGUACCUAAUCAGAAAGCAACGGCUAACUACGUG
rnacentral:rRNA from 1 species